rnacentral:rRNA from 1 species
GAUCCUGGCUCAGGAUGAACGCUGGCGGCGUGCUUAACACAUGCAAGUCGAGCGAAGCACUUUGAUUGGAUUCUUCGGAUGAAGAUAAUUGUGACUGAGCGGCGGACGGGUGAGUAACGCGUGGGCAACCUGCCUUACACAGGGGGAUAACAGUUAGAAAUGACUGCUAAUACCGCAUAAGACCGCGGAACCGCAUGGUUCUGAGGUAAAAACUCCGGUGGUGUAAGAUGGGCCCGCGUCUGAUUAGGUAGUUGGUGAGGUAACGGCUCACCAAGCCGACGAUCAGUAGCCGACCUGAGAGGGUGACCGGCCACAUUGGGACUGAGACACGGCCCAGACUCCUACGGGAGGCAGCAGUGGGGAAUAUUGCACAAUGUGGGAAACCCUGAUGCAGCGACGCCGCGUGAGCGAUGAAGUAUUUCGGUAUGUAAAGCUCUAUCAGCAGGGAAGAAAAUGACGGUACCUGACUAAGAAGCCCCGGCUAACUACGUG